UGGGGAAUCUUGCGCAAUGCGCGAAAGCGUGACGCAGCAACGCCGCGUGGGGGAAGACGGCCUUCGGGUUGUAAACCCCUUUCAGUUGGGACGAAGCUCCGCCCGUUAAUAGCGCGGCGGAGUGACGGUACCUUCAGAAGAAGCCCCGGCUAACUACGUGCCAGCAGCCGCGGUAAUACGUAGGGGGCGAGCGUUGUCCGGAAUCAUUGGGCGUAAAGAGCGUGUAGGUGGCCCGGUAAGUCCGCCGUGAAAGUCCAGGGCUCAACCCUGGAAAGCCGGUGGAUACUGUCGGGCUGGAGUCCGGAAGAGGCGAGUGGAAUUCCUGGUGUAGCGGUGAAAUGCGCAGAUAUCAGGAGGAACACCAAUGGCGAAGGCAGCUCGCUGGGACGGUACUGACACUGAGACGCGAAAGCGUGGGGAGCAAACAG
rnacentral:rRNA from 1 species